rnacentral:rRNA from 1 species
UACGGGGGGGGCAAGCGUUGUUCGGAAUUACUGGGCGUAAAGGGCUCGUAGGCGGCCAACUAAGUCGGACGUGAAAUCCCCAGGCUCAACCUGGGAACUGCGUCGGAUACUGGAUGGCUUGAAUUCGGGAGAGGGAUGCAGAAUUCCAGGUGUAGCGGUGAAAUGCGUAGAUAUCUGGAGGAAUACCGGUGGCGAAGGCGGCAUCCUGGACCGACAUUGACGCUGAACGGCGAAAGCUAGGGGAGCAAACGGG